rnacentral:rRNA from 1 species
AUGCUAUCUUCAAUAUGCUCAAGAACAUCUGAAAUGCACCUAGACAUUAUAUUUCAGAGUAUUGACAAUGAAACUGUACCAGGAAAGGAUUAUUACCAGCAGCUUUGCUCAAGAUAUGAAUGCUCUGUUAUAACAAUGAACAAGCCAGGGAUACGUUCAGGGGCUCCUAUCAUGGGCCAUACUAUAUGUCAUCUUAAUUUAGUUACUCCUUUUACUACUUGCUUCUUGGAAUUUCCUAUUCUCUUGUUAUCCUCCCUCCGUUCCGAAUUACUUGUCGUAGAAAUGGAUGUAUCUAGACAUUUUUUCCAUUUCUAUGACAAGUAA